rnacentral:tRNA from 1 species
GGGAGUAGUUGUCGUCCGGUGGCGGCCCUGGUCUUCAAAAUCAGUGGGCGGUUGCGAGCAGCAAGCGUCGGUGGGUUCGACUCCCAUCUAUUCCCGC